rnacentral:rRNA from 1 species
GACGAACGCUGGCGGCGUGCUUAACACAUGCAAGUCGAACGGUAAGGCUCCAGCUUGCUGGGGUACACGAGUGGCGAACGGGUGAGUAACACGUGGGUGACCUGCCCUGCACUUCGGGAUAAGCCGGGGAAACUGGGUCUAAUACCGGAUAGGACCAUGGUGUGGAUACUGUGGUUGAAAGUUUUUUCGGUGUGGGAUGGGCCCGCGGCCUAUCAGCUUGUUGGGGGGGUAAUGGCCUACCAAGGCGGCGACGGGUAGCCGGCAUGAGAGGGUGGACGGCCACCUUGGGACUGAGACACGGACCAGAGUCCUACGGGAGACAGCAGUGGGGAAUAUUGCACAGUGGGCGGAAGCCUGAUGCAGCGACGCCGCGUGGGGGAUGAAGGCCUUCGGGUUGUGAACUCCUUUCACCAUCGACGAUGGGUUUCUGACGGUAGAUGGAGAAGAAGCACCGGCUAACUACGUG